rnacentral:rRNA from 1 species
UACGUAGGGACCGAGCGUUGUCCGGAAUCAUUGGGCGUAAAGAGCGUGUAGGCGGCUUGCUAAGUCUUGCGUGAAAUCUCGGGGCUCAACCCCGAGCGGUCGUGGGAAACUGGCAGGCUAGAGUGCGGGAGAGGAGAAUGGAAUUCCUGGUGUAGCGGUGAAAUGCGCAGAUAUCAGGAAGAACACCCGUGGCGAAGGCGGUUCUCUGGAACGCAACUGACGCUGAGACGCGAAAGCUAGGGGAGCAAACGGG